rnacentral:rRNA from 1 species
CAAUAGCGUAUAUUUAAGUUGUUGCAGUUAAAAAGCUCGUAGUUGGAUUUCUGCUGAUCGCUGUCGGUCUGCCGUCAGGUGUGUACUGGCAGUGUUUGGCAUCUAUUCGAGAUUGGGUGUCCACUUGAUUGUGUGCACUCGAUGUCGGAGCUAAUACUUUGAGAAAAUUAGAGUGUUCCACGCAGGCGCGUGCCUCGAAUACUGCAGCAUGGGAUAUUGGAAGGCCGAUUGAGCUUUCUUGUUGGUUCUCGGUUUGAUCGGAAUGAUUAAUAGGGAUAGUUGGGGGCAUUCGUAUUCAACUGUCAGAGGUGAAAUUCUUGGAUUUGUUGAAGACGGACUACUGCGAAAGCAUCUGCCAUGGAUGUUCUCAUUGA